ACUACACUCCGGAUACAGCUGCAGCUUCUCUUCAACAUAUAUGCGAGACAAACGGCGGCAAAAAAGUGGGCUGCGCUAGCACCACUACACAGUACGCGUGCUGCGAGUGCAUCUAGUAAUAACACGGAUGAUGGCAAUGACAGAUGAUGCAUCUGUGAUGACGGUACCUUUAUGAUGGUGACCUAUCCUGGACGAACCUUUUGAAGAAAUUAGAAGAAAUAAAUGUUUGGAAGCAUAGUUUGUUCAUAAAUAUAUUCGUUAUCUGGCACGAGGCUACGAAAAUAUUAUUCCGUAAACG
rnacentral:lncRNA from 1 species